GCUAGUGGAAAAGGAAGUGGAGACGUGCAAACAACUAGGAGGUUGGCUCAGAAGCAGCCAUCCUUCAAAGAGUGCGUAACAGCUCACUAGUCGAAUGACUCUGCGCCGAUAAUUUACCGGGGCUAAGCAUGACACCGAAGCUAUGGACAGGAAUGUGGUAGGGGAGCAUUGCAUGCAGCGGAGAAGCAUGACCGAGAGGGCAUGUGGAGCGCAUGGAAGAGAGAAUGCCGGCGUGAGUAGCGGCACGUGGGUGAGAAUCCCACGCUCCGAUGGCCCAAGGUCUCCAGAGGAAGGCUCGUCCUCUCUGGGAUAGUCGGGACCUAAGGCGAGGCCGAAAGGCGUAGCCGAUGGACGACGGGUGGAUAUUCCCGUACCCGAUGUGUGGCGAUGGAGUGACGGAGAAGGCUCAGGCAACCAGCCGCUGGAAUAGCUGGGGCAAGCGAGAUACCUGCGCACCAGGGAAAUCCGGUGCGCGCAAGGGGAAGGCGCGAAGCAUACGGAAAGCUGCGGCAAGUACGGAAAAGCUGAGAGCAGGCUUCCAGGAAAAGCUUCUAGCACAACACGCAUCGGCCCGUACCGAAAAUGGACACACAUGGGCAAGGAGAGAAUCCUGAGGUGAGCGAGAGAACUAUAGCUAAGGAACUCUGCAAAAUGACCCCGUAACUUAGGGAGAAGGGGUGCUCCAGAAAUGGAGCCGCAGUAAAACGGCCCAAGCGACUGUUUACCAAAAACACAGCUCUCUGCGAAGGCGCAAGCCGAAGUAUAGGGGGUGACGCCUGCCCGGUGCUGGAAGGUCAAGGGGAGCUGUCAGCGCAAGCGAAGCAGCGAGCCGAAGCCCCAGUAAACGGCGGCCGUAACUAUAACGGUCCUAAGGUAGCGAAAUUCCUUGUCGGGCAAGUUCCGACCCGCACGAAAGGCGUAACGAUUUGGGCGCUGUCUCAGCUGUAGACUCGGUGAAGUCUUAGUACCUGUGAAGAUGCAGGUUGCCCGCGACUAGACGGAAAGACCCCAUGGAGCUUCACUGCAGGUUGACAUUGGGCUUGGAUGCAUGAUGUACAGGAUAGGUGGGAGGCUGUGAGCCGUGCGCGCCAGCGUACGGGGAGCCGCUGUUGGGAUACCACCCUUCAUGCAUCUAGGUCCUAACCGGAGGCAACGGGCCACGGGACAGUGUCAGUCGGGCAGUUUGACUGGGGCGGUCGCCUCCCAAAGAGUAACGGAGGCGCCCAAAGAUACCCUCAGCAUGGAUGGAAACCAUGCAUAGAGUGCAAAGGCAUAAGUGUGUCUGACUGCGAGACAUACAGGUCGAGCAGGGACGAAAGUCGGGCUUAGUGAUCCGGCGGAUCCGAAUGGAAGGGCCGUCGCUCAACGGAUAAAAGCUACCCUGGGGAUAACAGGCUGAUCUCCCCCAAGAGUUCACAUCGACGGGGAGGUUUGGCACCUCGAUGUCGGCUCAUCGCAUCCUGGAGCUGAAGUCGGUUCCAAGGGUUGGGCUGUUCGCCCAUUAAAGCGGUACGCGAGCUGGGUUCAGAACGUCGUGAGACAGUUCGGUCCCUAUCUGUCGUGGGCGCAGGAGGUUUGAGGAGAGCUGCCCCUAGUACGAGAGGACCGGGGUGGACGGACCGAUGGUGCACCAGUUGUCACGCCAGUGGCACAGCUGGGCAGCCAAGUCCGGACGGGAUAAGCGCUGAAGGCAUCUAAGCGUGAAGCCCCCUCCAAGAUGAGACCUCCCAUUGGCGACAAGUAAGGCCCCUCGAAGACGACGAGGUUGAUAGGCCGCGAGUGCAAGCGCAGCGAUGUGCUUAGCGGGGCGGUACUAAUAGGCCGAGGACUUGGCC
rnacentral:rRNA from 1 species